UGUCGCAUGACUACCUAAUUAAAUGUGUUUUAGUACAAUUCACUUAACAAAUUUAAAUUCCAUAACUGCUUCAUAAAUAAUAUAUAUACUUCUACUUACAAAUCACAUUGCCAUCAAAUCUAAAAGUUUCCUUUUUAUCGUGUAAAUAAAAACAGGUACGUGACAAAGGUUACUGAUGUCCAAUUAUUUUGUCUGUUCCACGGUUAUGAACAAGUUAGUGGCCAUUAGAAAUGAUACUGAACACAAAGAAAUAAUGACAACAAUGAAAUAAAAAUUGGGUCCAACAUUUAGACUUCUAUAUCAAAAUCUAGUUAUUUUCAUCCACACUUUUAACAAUCAAUUCAAAGAAAAGGUAAUGCGCAUGUACCAAAUCUUAAAAAGAUCAAAAUCGAUCACGUGAAAAAGAAAAUACCUGUAUUGAAAUCUUAAUAAAUGAGGAUGACAUUUUGUAUGAAAUUUUUUGUGUAUCGCCAUUCAACAACGAACUCCUCCCUGACACACAUUCUUUGUAUCACAGACACACUAAACCGCCAUUAAAUAACUUAAGAUAUCUAUUUUCUAUUUGUAAAAUACAUGGUGGAAAAUUCUUUGUUAAAAAGAUAUAGUGUGACCAAAGUGAAACUACUGACCAUGGCUAUUUUUGUUCACUUCAGUAUGGUCAGUCUAUAAAUAAAGGUAUUAAAUAGAAUGACCUGAAAUGCCCUUUUUAUCUGCUGGUCAAAACAUUACACAGUCAGUAGUCGUCUGCUCGUAAAUCUAGGUCAAGUUGAUCUAUCAAUAACAACUAUAGGCUUACCUAUCCAUGACUGUAUAAAAAGGUCCACAAAAAUGUACAGUAAUUAUCACACACUAUCAAGUCACAGUUUUUCAUAAAAUUCAAACAGCAACCAGCUACUUUAAAAGCAAGACAGCUACAAGUGAAAGCAUGGCAAAGCAAACACACAAUCUCCAGACAACACGUCAACCAGCUAAAAAUAGAAUUUACAUUCUGAUUGGACAUUCACUACAUAUGAGGUAUAAAAAAACUUAUUUUUGAAAUCAAUACAUGUGCAUCAAGCAUAGAAUAUAUGCAGUACUGAUUUUGAAGUGUGC
rnacentral:lncRNA from 1 species